CCUACGGGUGGCUGCAGUGGGGAAUAUUGGACAAUGGGCGAAAGCCUGAUCCAGCCAUGCCGCGUGUGUGAAGAAGGCCUUCGGGUUGUAAAGCACUUUCAGUGGGGAAGAAAGCCUUGGGGCUAAUACCCUCGAGGAAGGACAUCACCCACAGAAGAAGCACCGGCUAACUCCGUGCCAGCAGCCGCGGUAAUACGGAGGGUGCGAGCGUUAAUCGGAAUUACUGGGCGUAAAGCGCGCGUAGGCGGUCUGAUAAGCCGGUUGUGAAAGCCCCGGGCUCAACCUGGGAACGGCAUCCGGAACUGUCAGGCUAGAGUGCAGGAGAGGAAGGUAGAAUUCCCGGUGUAGCGGUGAAAUGCGUAGAGAUCGGGAGGAAUACCAGUGGCGAAGGCGGCCUUCUGGACUGACACUGACGCUGAGAUGCGAAAGCGUGGGUAGCAAACAGGAUUAGAUACCCCAGUAGU
rnacentral:rRNA from 1 species